CCAGCAGCCGCGGUAAUUCCAGCUCCAAUAGCGUAUAUUAAAGUUGUUGCAGUUAAAAAGCUCGUAGUUGGAUUUCUGGGUUAGGAACUUGGUCGGCUGCAGCUAUGCAGUUAGUACCAGGUUUCCUUGCCCAUCCUUCUAGAAAUUGGCUCUGUGCUUCAUUGCAUUCGGGUCAGGAUCUAGAUCUUUUACUUUGAAAAAAUUAGAGUGUUUAAAGCAGGCUUUGCUGUGAAUACAUUAGCAUGGAAUAAUAACUUAGGACUUUGGUUCUAUUUUGUUGGUUUCUAGGGCCGAAGUAAUGAUUGAUAGGGAUAGUUGGGGGUGCUAGUAUUCAGCGGCCAGAG
rnacentral:rRNA from 1 species